UAACAAUCUCUCCCACUGCCCGUAGCAC
rnacentral:piRNA from 1 species